GUGGGGAAUUUUGCGCAAUGGGCGAAAGCCUGACGCAGCAACGCCGCGUGGGUGAUGAAGGUCUUCGGAUCGUAAAACCCUGUCGUCAGGGACGAAGGCUACAUGCCUAACAGGUGUGUAGUUUGACGGUACCUGGAGAGGAAGCCCCGGCUAACUCUGUGCCAGCAGCCGCGGUAAUACAGAGGGGGCAAGCGUUAUUCGGAAUUAUUGGGCGUAAAGGGCGCGUAGGCGGUUUUUUAAGUGAGAUGUGUAAUCCCCGAGCUUAACUUGGGAACUGCAUCUCAGACUGGAAGGCUAGAGUACUGGAGAGGGUGGUGGAAUUCCACGUGUAGCGGUGAAAUGCGUAGAGAUGUGGAGGAACACCAGUGGCGAAGGCGGCCACCUGGACAGUAACUGACGCUGAGGCGCGAAAGUGUGGGUAGCAAACAGGAUUAGAUACCCCAGUAGUCC
rnacentral:rRNA from 1 species